AUAUGGAGGUUCCUUAACAAACUAAACAUGGAAUUACUAUAUGAUCCAGCAAUCCUCCUCAUAUAUCCAGAAAAGAUGAAAACUCUAAUUCAAAAAGAUACAUGCACCCCAAUAUUCAUUGUAGCAAUAUUUCAAAAAAAAUUUAAGUAUAGUUGAUUUACAGUGUGCCAAUUUCUGCUGUAUAGCAAAGUGACUCAGUCAUACAUAUAUAUAUAUACAUGAUUUUUAAAUACUAUUUUGAAUCAUGCUAUAUCCCAGGAGACUGGAUAUAGUUCCCUGUGCUGUACAGUAAGAUCUCAUUGCUUAUCCAUUCUAAAUGUAAUCGUUUGCAUCUACUAACUCCAGACUUCCAAUCCAUCCCACUCAUACCCAUCUCCCCCUUGGCAACCACAAGUCUGCUCUCUAUGUCUGUGAGUCUGUUUCUGUUUUGUACAUAGGUUCAUUUGUGCCACAUUUUAGAUUCCACAUAUAAGUGACAUCAUAUAGUAUUUGUCUUUUUCUUUCUGACUUCACUUAGUAUGAGAAUCUCUCAUUGCAUCCAUGUUGUUGCAGCACUAUUUACAAUAGCCAAGACAUGAAAGCAACCUAAAUGUCCAUCAACAGAUGAAUGGAUAAAGGACAUGUGGGGUGUAUGUGUAUGCAUACAUACAAUUGAAUAUUAGUCAGCCAUUAAAAAAAUGAAAUAAUGCCACUUUCAGCAGCAUGGACAUUAAGAGAAUUAAGUCAGACAAGAAAAAUACGCAAUAUCACUUAUAUGUGGAAUCUGAAAAAAAAUGAUACAAGUGAACUUAUUUACAAAAAAGAAAUGGACUCACAGACAUAGAAAACAAACUUACGGUUACCAAAGGGGAAAGAGGAGAGAGGGAUAAGUUAGGAGUUUGGGAUUUAAAAAAAUUUGAGCUGAUCAUGCACUAUCCAAAUAAGCAGCCACUUGAGCACUUCCCAGGUGGAUAGUCCAAAUUGAGAUAUGCUCUAAGUAUUUUAUAUGCAGAUCAGAUUUUGAAGAUUUAAUAUGCAAAAAUAUAAAAUGCCUCAAUUUUUAUAUUGAUUACAUGUUGAAAGGCAGUAUUUUGACAUUGAAUUAAAGAAAACAAUGAAAUGAAUUUCACUUGUUUCUUUUUAAUUAAUGCGGCUCCUAGAAAUUUAGAUAAUGUAGCUUGUCAAUAUCUCUCUCUCUAUUGGACAGCACUGGACUGAAAGUACUCAAAGUUUAAAUUAGGUGCUCUUGGCCCAAGGGAGAGAGCUCAGCCAGCUGGGGAGUUUGGAAAGGUCACGUGGACCGAAUUGACCUUGGAGAAUGACAAGAUUUUGGCAAGUGGUGCCCUGGGAGGAUUCUAAAGCCUAUCAGAUGGAGGAAGUAGCAUCAAUAGAGGCUGGGAGACAACAGAAUGGUUUCUUUGUUGGUACAGAAGUGAGUUUAGCUGUAAUAAGGGACAAAGCAUGUGACAAGUCUAGGUAAAUAGGCAUAGGCCUUAUUGUGGGCUCUCCUCGUGGGUUAGGGGUUUGGACCUGUUUUUGGCUGGCAACAGGGGAGGGGAGGUGACUACGCCAUAGUUUUGAGCAGGGAGUAGUAACUUUGAAAGGUGAUUAGAUGUCUGAUCUGGAAAAUAUAAGUUGAUUGGAUUGGAGUAAGAAAGACACUAAGUGGUUAAACCAGGUUAACUAGGAAAGACCAAAGGUCUAAUAUCAGAUGCCAGUGGAACUGGGAAGUAGAGGAUGGUGGAAAGCCACUUUAUACUGUGCCAAGGAUAUUUGUGAAUGAGUGAGAACACCAGUGUUUUGUGCUUGACGAAUUUGGAUAAUGGUGAUGCCCUCAUAGAAAUGCAGACCUUAGAAGAAGUUGGUUUGAGACUCAUAUGAUGUGUUUAGUUUGAGACAGCCCACUAAUAUGAUGUGUUUAGUUACAAGACAGGCCAGCUCGCAGAAGCUUGCUCACUUCGGUCUUUUGCUGGCAAAAAUGGUGCUGGACCAUUCUUUGCUUUUGGCCAGCUCUGUCUUUCCUGACCCUUCCCGCCAUCCACCAUGGUCACAGUUAAUUGAUCAGGGAAAGGGGUCUGACCUUUGGAUAUUUGCUCAUUGGCUGGUCAGUGGAACUUCAGAUGAUUAGGCUUGUAAGGGCUGAGUGGAGCAGUUCUUUUUUAGACAUCUGAACUGGAGAUACAAGAGAGAGAGCUGGUGUAGGGACAGGAGAAAGAAACAUGGGGAGGAACAGCAGGGAAAGGGGAAACCUAAGCCAAUGGGAGUGGUGGAGAGAUGAGCAGGACCAGUGAACUCCUGGCCACUGGACUGUGUAGGUUCCUGGACAGAUCUGCCACAGCCCGUGCUUUGCCCUUCUGGGAAGAGUGGCUCUUCAUAGUUCUGGUGAGAUAAUGGCCGAAUGAGCAUGAUUCCUUUCCUCUUUAUUCCCUCCGUUUUCCUAACAGGAAAGCUCCAUUGGCUAACCAAAAAGGGUGAUGAGGUGGAUGUUUGAAAUUGUUAGAAAGGCAGGUUUGGAAUUAAGAGAGGAGGUCGGCGUGGAGAUGCAAAGUUAAGAAAAGCCCAAUUUGUUCAUGCAAGAGGCAUGAGAUUGUAAACAGUACUCUUCAGUGGCAGAGGAAGCCCAGCAUUCUAAAGGCAGUCGAUGCUAAAUUGCUUGCUGAUAACAGGUGUAAUAGGUGUGGCAAAGCAUUCAGCCAGCAACACUAAUGGAAGUCUGAGUUUGCAGUAAGCCUUGUUUAAGGGAUGAAGGUUCUGCUAUAGGGAAGGAGCAAGUUAUUCAACAAGUUACUCAUUAAUCUCCUUAACAGAGCUGCUCUGUUUGCAAAGUAAGGUUAGCAGUUGUUUUAGUUUAUAUUCUUCAGAGAUGUUUUGAGGACAAACAAGUAACAGCUUUGCAUGUUGUAUUUUUCAUUAGAUACUCCCGGUCUACAGAGGCAGUAGCUGGCCUGACAAUUUUUAUAAACAGCUUAGAACAGGCAGCUCUGAGUAGUGGCUCAGGGAGGGCUUUUGGAGUUGGGGGGGGGGCUUCCGUUUGGUCUAGAUGACAAAUGUAGGUGAAAUGCAUUUCUCCAUAUGGUUGACAACUGGGAUCAGAGUCUUAAGCUGUCAGGACUGAACUCUGUAUAUCUAGCAUGGCAAUUGUUUUGAGAGAAAAAUACAGCAAAAGAGAGGUGUGUACAUAAAUUUUUUAAUAAAAACUGUUCAAAUAAACUGUCCACAAAACAGUAUGUAUAUUUGGUAUGCCAGUUUCGUAAGUUAAGAAAUGCAUGUGACAAAUCCUAGAGGGGGACCCACAUCCAAAUGUUAAUAGUUAUGGUUGGGUGGUAGGAUGAUUCAUGCGUUACGUUUUUCUUUGUGUUUGUCUUUGUUUUCUAAGACUUUUCUUCUCCCCUUACACAUAGCAUGAAUUACUUGAGUAAUUAAAAAAACAGCGAAUGCUUUUAAAAACAAUUUUGUCUAGGUGUUUUUCAUAAUAUAUACUUUUGUUUCUCAAAGAUGGAGUGGCUGUUUUCACUGCCUAGUCUCAUUUAUAAUGCAGCAGUUCUUUAGUCUGUUUUAGCAAUGGAUUAAAUUAAUGCAGAGCAAAAACAGAUUUAACUUGAUUUUUAAGCUUUGAUUCCUCAAAAUAAAGGGUGAUGACUGUUCCUAUUGAACAUUUAAAAAUAUGUUUUUUCUUUUUCUGUUCUUCUUUUUUUUUUUUGCUUUUUAGGGCUGCACCCGUGGCAUAUGGAGGUUCCCAGGCUAGGGGUCUAAUCAGAGCCACAGCUGCAGAUCUACUUCACAGCAAUGCAGGAUCCGAGCCGCAUCUGCAACCUACACCAUAGCUCACAGCAAUGCCAGAUCCUUAACCCACUGAGCAAGGCCAGGGAUUGAACCCGCAGCCUCAUGGUUUCUAGUCAGAUUCGUUUCUACUGCACCAUGAUGGGAACUCCUAAAAAGAAAUUUUUGAGAUGUGUUUCAAAUACAAUCCUAAGUGAAUAAUGUGAUAAUUACCUGUGUAUCUAUCAUCCAGCUUUUAAAAGAUCAUGGCAUUAUCCUUAUUUGCUUGGGGUUUGGGUAUUUGAACUUGAAAGAAAUAUUAAAAAGUUAUGCUUGAUUCUUCUACAUCUCCUCUUUGUCAUGAAAGCAAAGUUUAUCAGUUGAGUGUGUUUUGAUACAUUUACUAAUAUGUAUGUAUCCACAAUUAUGAUAAAGUGUUGCCCUCAGAUUUUUAAGCUUUGUGUUAAUGAAUCAUGCCUUGCAUAUUGUUUUGAAACUUGCGGUUUCCUUGCCUUGACAUUGUUUAACAGGUUUCCAUGUUGAUAGAUGUGGAUCAAGUUCAGGGGUUCACAAGCUAUGUAUGGCCCAUGUGCCAAGUCUAGCCAGCCCCCUCUUUUUGUAAAUAAACUUUACUAUCUAUGGCUGCUUGUACACCAACGCAUCAGAGUUGAGUAGUUGUGAUAGAGACUGUAUGGCCUGGAAAGCCUAGAAUAUUUACUGCCUGGCUCAUUACAGAAAAAGUUUGCUGACUUCUGAUCUAGCCCAUCCUUUGUGUGGCUAUAUCAUUAUUUAUCCAUUUUCCUGCCCAUGGACACUUAGUUCCUGUUUAUUUGUAAGAAGUGAUGUUUUGGUGAACAUUGGUUUGUGUGUAUAGAUAUAGAUAUCUCCUUACCAUGUGAGUUGAGAGGGUUUCUAGGGUAGCCUAUUGCUCAUGAAGCAGUUAAGCUUUUUAAUAUAUUUUGAUGUGUUUU
rnacentral:lncRNA from 1 species